rnacentral:rRNA from 1 species
UGUUACGACUUAUCUUACCUUAAUAAUAAGAGCGACGGGCGAUGUGUACAUAUUUUAGAGCUAAAAUCAAAUCUUUAAUCUAUAAAAUUUUACUAUCAAAUCCACCUUCAUUAAAUAUUUCAAAUUUAAAUUCAUAUAAAUAAAUUUAUUGUAACCCAUUUCUACUUAAAUAUAAACUACACCUUGAUCUGAUAUAAAUUUUAAUAAAAAUUAUAGAAAAUUAUUAUUCUUAUAAAAUAUUCUAAUAACGACGGUAUAUAAAUUGAAAAACAAAAUUAAGUAAGGUACAACGUGGAAUAUCAAUUACAGAACAGGUUCCUCUGAAUAGACUAAAAUACCGCCAAAUUUUUUAAGUUUCAAGAACAUAACUAUUACUACCUUAGAGUUUUAAAUUACAUUUUAAAUAAUAGGGUAUCUAAUCCUAGUUUA